rnacentral:rRNA from 1 species
UACGAGGGGGGCGAGCGUUGUUCGGAAUUAUUGGGCGUAAAGGGUGCGUAGGCGGCCUGACAAGUCUGAUGUGAAAUCCCUGGGCUCAACCCAGGGCCUGCAUCGGAAACUGUCGGGCUUGAGUAUGGGAGAGGUGAGUGGAAUUUCCGGUGUAGCGGUGAAAUGCGUAGAUAUCGGAAGGAACACCUGUGGCGAAAGCGGCUCACUGGACCACAACUGACGCUGAGGCGCGAAAGCUAGGGGAGCAAACAGG